GAUGAACGCUGGCGGCGUGCCUAAUACAUGCAAGUCGAGCGAACAGACGAGGAGCUUGCUCCUCUGACGUUAGCGGCGGACGGGUGAGUAACACGUGGAUAACCUACCUAUAAGACUGGGAUAACUUCGGGAGACCGGAGCUAAUACCGGAUAAUAUAUUGAACCGCAUGGUUCAAUAGUGAAAGACGGUUUUGCUGUCACUUAUAGAUGGAUCCGCGCCGCAUUAGCUAGUUGGUAAGGUAACGGCUUACCAAGGCAACGAUGCGUAGCCGACCUGAGAGGGUGAUCGGCCACACUGGAACUGAGACACGGUCCAGACUCCUACGGGAGGCAGCAGUAGGGAAUCUUCCGCAAUGGGCGAAAGCCUGACGGAGCAACGCCGCGUGAGUGAUGAAGGUCUUCGGAUCGUAAAACUCUGUUAUUAGGGAAGAACAAAUGUGUAAGUAACUAUGCACGUCUUGACGGUACCUAAUCAGAAAACCACGGCUAACUACGUG
rnacentral:rRNA from 1 species